CAGGACCAGAAGUUACCUGAACGUUUGAUAGUAAUCACGAGAAUUGGUUUCACCGAACCCCUUUACAACGACAAAGUAAGCUGGACGAUUGUAAAAAGCUGGCUCCCGUGAAAACUUUCCUUUUUCAACGAUCAACCACCGCCUGUCUGGAAAUUGGACACGGAAGAAAAAAAAUACAGAACACUCGUGACACUUGUUUUCCAAAGUUCAACGAAACAGGAUAUGGUGGCAGGUGUUUGGCCUUCGGCUGGAUGGUCAAAAACUCGUGCCAAAGGUUCAGAUAGGAAGGCUUCUU